rnacentral:rRNA from 1 species
GAUGAACGCUGGCGGCGUGCCUAAUACAUGCAAGUCGAGCGAACGGACGAUAAGCUUGCUUUUCUGAUGUUAGCGGCGGACGGGUGAGUAACACGUGGAUAACCUACCUAUAAGACUGGUAUAACUUCGGGAAACCGGAGCUAAUACCGGAUAAUAUUUUGAACCGCAUGGUUCAAAAGUGAAAGACGGUCUUGCUGUCACUUCUAGAUGGAUCCGCGCUGCAUUAGCUAGUUGGUAAGGUAACGGCUUACCAAGGCAACGAUGCAUAGCCGACCUGAGAGGGUGAUCGGCCACACGGGAACUGAGACACGGUCCAGGCUCCUACGGGAGGCAGCAGUAGGGAAUCUUCCGCAAUGGGCGAAAGCCUGACGGAGCAACGCCGCGUGAGUGAUGAAGGUCUUCGGAUCGUAAAACUCUGUUAUUAGGGAAGAACACAUGUGUAAGUAACUGUGCACAGCUUGACGGUACCUAAUCAGAAAGCCACGGCUAACUACGUG